UAGAUCGAAUGAAAAUUCUUUUCUCCUUGGUUUUCGGAAGAUCAGAUCCCUUGAUGCCUUCAUUUGGUUUCUUCUGCUGAGGCAUUGAUCCUUUAGUAGGUUUCACUGAUGUCUUGUUUUGUAGCUUUACGUUGUUCAUGAGUUCCUGCAUUUCUUCCAUCUUUACUUGCAUCUCCUCUGCUGAUUCAGUAUCUCUGCAUUUCUUUUUAUCAUCUAACAGAAGGGGCUGUGGUUGAUACUUCAAUCCAUCCAGCACAGCCUUGUACACUUUCUUCCCGCCUGCAAACUCAUAAAUGGGCAAAACAAAUUUUUAUGAACUAUUUAUCAAUGCUUAAAGUUCCAAAUCCUAGUAGAACAAUUGUAUGCGCAAGUUUGACCAGGUGCCUAUGAGAAGGCCUAGUCUCUAAUUUGUAAAUGUAAUCCAUAUUUAGAGAAACAAACACCACACACAUCUUGCAGUUCAUCUAUCAGGUUCUGCACUCUCAAACAUAUCACCUGCUCUUUCACAGAAGCACAAAAACAAAGCAUUUGCAAUGUAAAACAAAUCGAAUAUAAAGCAAAAUGACUGAAGAGCUGUGCAUUCUGCUAUAACUGAAUCGACACAAGAGGUCCACACGACAGAUUCCAAAAGUCCAACAUGAGGAUGUAGUCAUAUAGCUAUCGAUUUGUAUAUGAAUAAAAAUAUUCUCAUAUUGUUAUUGCCUCCCCAAAGAAAUAUAUAAACAAAAACUAACAAGCAAGUAUGCGAAAAUUUCAUAGCGAAACUGCUAAAAAUCCCUUAAACUGUUACACAUAUUCCAGGCAAAUAACUGCGCAUUAGCAUCUAAUUUUCAUCAUCAUUUGAUUACUGUCUUUCCGUUUUAAGAUAGUUUUCCCGAAUUCAGAAACAAUGCAGAGCCAUCCUUCCUGCGCUUAAACUAAGACACACUAAAAACCUAACCUGCUUAGAAAAUUACAGUAUUGAAUUUCAAAGAAUUACAAUGAAUUUCAGUCAGAAUCAGAUCUCAACAAUCACUGUAAAUUACAGAGAAUCUGAAGUUGAACCGUACAAAUGUGGAUCUGUAUAAAUUCAACAAAAUGAAUAUUUAUGUUAUGACCAUAAAGUUUCUACUCUAGACUGUUAAUUAAUUAAAAUACAGAAAAGUACAAAAUUCUAUCAACCUCCAAAAAGCUAACUUCAUCACAUAAUAUUGAAAUGCAGAACGGAAUAAUACGAAAUUUAUUGAAAAUAAAUCAAAUUAGCUCAAAAGUAUAAACAGAGAAAAAGUAGCACUAACCAGUGAAGCCUUUGAAAGAGACGUUGACGGCGGAAUCGAGGGCGAAUUCGGUGAAAAUUUUCAGGAAUCCCCCGAUCUUCGCUCGACGAUCCAAAUUGCUGAUUGGAUGUUGAUCUUUGUCGACUUUAACGGCGUCUGACAUGCCGGUGACGGAGAAGAUAUACGCGCCUUGUACUGUUUGGUUCUAACAGUUUCGCGACAGAUUUUGAUUUUGCUGUUUACAGGGGAACGCAAAUCCUUAGUCUAAUAAAAAGUAUUUAAGCCAAUAGGCUUUAGCUUAACGGUCAACCUCUGUCACAAUUUUUCUAAAUUGUGAAGAUCGAGAUUUGAGUUAUCAUGAAUUUAAAAAUUCUUUCAAUAAAAUAUUAUAUAUAAUUGUGUAAAAUUUAUUUAUAACUCUUUUUCUAUUGUGAAAUGUGAGUGAAGCACAAAUAUUUCUUAAAUUAUUUAUUUAAAUAUAUAUUUUAUAGAUUGUAAAUAUAUGUAUAAUACAGUAAUAUGAUAUGUAAUUAAUAUUAAAAAUAAAAAAUAUUUAAAUACUUCUUUCAUUUACCUAAGAAGUUCUAAAAUAUAUUUCUCUUUUUUUUUUUUUCUUUUUUUAGGUAAAACAGGGGCUCUAAACAGAGGUAAAGAACAACAGAACGAGGAUGGACCCUUCCAUAAGCAUCAUGAAACAAGAAAGAUCUAACGCCCAACGGGAGAGUAAGGUACACAACAAGACCAAGAGGACUAGAGAAAGCUAGCCUCGCCAUAUAACCAGCCGCAAAUUUAGCUUCUCGGUAAAUAUGAGAGAUGCAAACUUGCCAAUCCAACUUUAAAUAAUCCUUAAUAGCUUGAAUAAGCGGGGCAUAGUGAUUGAUAUCCAAGGUCGGCUUAGUCACCAACUGAAACACACAACGACUAUUUGUUUUAACUUUGAGCCUUCUUAUGCCAGAGUUCUAGGCCAGAUGCAACCCUUGAUACAAACUCCAAAGCUCUGCUACUGUAAUAGAACAUGAUCCAAUCAUCAUCCCAAAACCACUAAGCCAGCGACCCAUGUGAUCACGAAUUAGGCCCCCAGCAGUAGAUAUCCCAUUCCUGUUAUGAGCACCAUCAAUGUUCAAAGUACACCAAGGCCAAUCCGGAGGUUUCCAAGAGAUCCAUCGAUUCACCUUGUAUGCCCUGUGGUAAGUGGAUGGGUAUGAAACUUAUGCAUCUCCGCAGCGCAUGUAAGAACAUUCACUAACACAGCAUUCGGAUCCAUAAAAGCUUGAUUAAAAAGGAAUUGGUUCCUCCAAAACCAAAGUCUCCAGAGCACAAUACCAAAGAAGGUUGCCCAGUUAGAAACACUCCCCAGCUUUCCAGCAAUCCCCACAUUCGAACUAAGCCACUCCUGGAGCCGAGAACUGAAGAAGGACUCACGUUUGUUCUCAAGAAUUAUCAAGAGGCAAAACCUCUUAACCAAGCUAUAGUCUCGCAAGGCAUGGAUAACAUCCUUAGUCACAGCCCACACCGAUCGCAGGCUGUUGAAACAGAGAUGUGACGACAAGCCAACUCAGCCUUGGUUUUCAACCGAUCAUGAAGCACUUGCCAUAAGAAAAUACGCACACUUUGGGGGCCUUUCCAGCUCCAAACCAUGCGCUAGAGACGGUCAUCAUGCAUAAGAUUAUCAUCCGAAAUCGCCAAGUAUGCAGAAUGAGUAGUGAACCGCCCAGACUUUGAGUGAGCCCAAAAAAUUAAAUUUGUGCCCUUAGCAGGGGACGGGGGAUGGAGAGCAGCAAUCUGAAGGAUGAUAUUAGAAGGAAGAAAAUGUUCAAAACAAUCCCAGUACCAGGAGCCAUCCUCUUUGACGAAAUCAGCUACCUUGACAUUUAAGAUAUUACUGGGAAUUAUGUUGGUGGCAUACGCAGCAAGAGGGACAUCAUUGGUCACCUAAAGGUCCCACCAAAACUGAACGGACUAACCAUCACCCAAACACCAGCGUCUACUUACCAAGACCUCAUUCCAAUCCCACCAAAACUGAACGGACUAACCAUCACCCAAACACCAGCGUCUACUUACCAAGACCUCAUUCCAAACACUGCCGAGAGAUUUCCAUAAAUGAGAACCAUAGCGGGUAUGAAGCACAAGGGGCGGAUUAUGAGUAUAAACCCCAUACUUAGAAGCAAGAAUCUAAACCCAAAAACUGUUAGGAGAGGAGAUGAGACCCCAAGAAGGUUUCAUAUGGAGAGCCCGAUUCAUCAUAGCCAAAGAUUUAAACCCCAGCCCACCAGCUGACUUCGGUUUACAAAUAUCCCUCCAACUAAUCAUGCUAAGACGUUGAUGAGGUGAAGAGCCACUCCAAAUAAACCGUAUGCAUGCCCUAUCAAUCCUCUCUCUAACCCCAAUAAGAAGAGAAACAGUUUGCAUGACGUAAAUGGGAAUAGCCUGAAGAACCGAUUGAGCCAGAGUAAUGCGACUGGCCAGAGACAAAUGGGAGGCAUUCCAACCAGAGAGCCACUUCUCAACUUUAUCAAUAAUAUCCUGGAACAUAUUGUUGGAGACUCGUGUAUGGUGAAGGGGAACCCCCAAGAUAUUUACCAAGAUCUUGCGUAACCGAAAAACCAAGAGCACUGGAAAUCCUGGCCACAUCUCUAUCUCCUACAUUUUUGGAAAAAUAUAACAAAGUCUUAUUAUCAUUGACUUUAGCUUCUGAACUGUAACAAUAAGAGUCCAAGAUUGCUGAAAUAACCUGAGCUUGCUCCAUAGAAGCUUCAGCCAGCAAAAAGAGAUCAUCCGCAAAGAAAAAAAUGAGAGAGAUGAAUAUCAUUUCGAGCCAAAUGGAUCGGUUUCCACUUUCCAGCAGUAAUAGCAUUAUGAAUCCCGUGACUAAGGCGUUCGAUGCAGAGAAUAAAUAAGUAAGGAGACAAUGGAUCACCCUGACGAAUUACACGGGAAGGCGAGAAUUCAUCAGUGACUUCACCAUUCCACAGAACCCUCAUUUUAACUGAGGUAAUACGAGCCAUAAUAACCUGAAUGAGAUCCGGAGGAAGACGAGCCUCACACAAAGUAUCAUUAAUGAAUUCCUAACUAAGGUGAUCAUACGCUUUCUCAAGAUCAACUUUAAUCGCCAUAAAGGCCCUUGCACCAGUCUUUUUUCGCAUUGAAUGGAUAACUUCUUGAGCAAUCACAAUAUUUUCCGUUAUAUAGUGACCAGGAACAGAGCUAGUUUGGUGGGGGCCAAUUAGCUAAGGUAAAACCGAUUGGAGCCUAUUGGCAAUAAUUUUGGUAAUGGUCUUGUAGGCUACAUUAUAAAAAGAGAUAGGACGGUACAAUUUCAAAGAAGAGGGGUUCUCAAUCUUUGGAACGAGAGCAAGCAAUGUAGAAUUCAGAUCCCCAAGGAUGCAUUUAUGCUGAAAAACAUCUUUCACCAAACAACAUAGAGAUGAGCCGACCGUAUCCCACUGAGUUUGAUAGAAAAUGCCGUGGAGGCCAUCCGGACCCGGGGCUUUGAGGGGGUGCAUGCCAAAGGUAGUUCUUUUAAUUUCAUCAUCGUCCACGUGCCCAUGAAGAUAUUGAAGCUCGUCAUAAUCAAUAAUAGGAAAAGAGUUCGGAUGAGGGUAUGCCCGAAAAUCUGGAGAAUUGCAAGAAUAAAAGGGAAGAAUAAAACUAAAUAGCAUGGGCCUUUAUUUCAUCUUUAUCACAAAUCCAAGUACCCAUAUUAUUUUGUAUGGCCGUGAUAUGAUUUCGAUGCCUUCUAGAUAAAGUUUUCUGAUGGUAGUAGGAAGUGUUAAGAUCACCUAACAGAAGCCAAUCCUUGCGCGACUUCUGAAGCCAGAUAAUCUCUUCCUGAGUAAGCACCUCUUCAAGUUCUGUUUUCAAUUUUAAUUCAAGCUCAAGGAGCCCUUGAGAAGAAUACUCCUCCAAAGCCCGCUGAAUCCCCCCCAAACGAGCCAGUAAAUGCUGUUCCUCCUAAAAAUAUUCUCAAAACACCGCUUAUUCCAUUCCAUGACUUUAAGCCGAAAAAGAUCAGCCGCCUCGAGGUAGUUGAUGUUCCGGUCCCAUGAGGUGGUCACAAAAUCCUUGAAACCAUCAUUCGUGAGCCAAGUUGCCUGAAACCGAAACGGACGAGAAUCCAAGUUCCUUGGAGGUAAAAUAUUCUCUUUCACUAGAAGCGGUCUAUGAUCCGAAAUAAAUUUCGGGAGAUGAAGCACAGUUGCAGCGGCAUAAUUCUGAGCCAAUUCACUAUUGCAAAUAAUUCUAUCAAGGCAUUUGAAAAGGUUGCUGUGAGACCAAGUGAAGUGUGGCCCAUGGAAAUGAAGUUCAUACAUACAAUGAGUAUGAAACCAAGACUGAAAAAGUCUGCAAGCACCUGUGCCCGUCGGAGAUCCUCAUUUCUUUUCAGAAUUAUACAAAAUAGUAUUGAAAUCACUACCCAAAAGCCAAGGACCAUGGACAGUAAGAGCAAUAUUCGCCAACUCAUUCCAAAGAUAUCUCCUGAUGCUUGGAUUAGAACUAGCAUAGAUCGCCGUCAUCUAAGUUAGCAAGCUAUUGUUCUUGAAAAUAUUGAGAUGGAUGAACUGAGUAUGGUUCCCAACAAUCUCAACUUCAAAUAAAUCUUUCCAAAGAAUCCAAAUAUCGCUAGAAAAACCCUCUGCUUCCACCCGAUGAGAUUUGUCAAAACCACUAUUCUUGAUGAAAUUAUCCGUCUUAGACCCAUUGAUGCGAGGUUCCAUUAAUACCACCAUUACGGGUUUGUAAUUAUUUACCAAUGCAGAAAAAGGAUGACGAAAAGACGGUGAACUUUAAGUGUUCCAAAACAUAGUCGUAAUACACAUAAUAAGUGGUUUAAAAGGAAGAUUGAAGGAAUUACGGAGAAAGCCCCAAGGCUUCAGCUUCAUCGUCCAUAACAGUGUCAGGAACCCUUGAACUAUCAUCGUCAGUUAAAGGAAACCUGUCCCGACCCAUAACUGCUGAAUCUAGCUCCCCAAGAUUUUCCAGCCUUGUAUUAAGAUUAUUACUUCCGUAAUCAUCAGGGGGCUCUCUAUCAAAACUCUGAGCUAACUGUCAUCAGACGGAUGAUCAUGGUUAGGCAAAAAAUGAGAGGAUUGUAAGGGAAAGAAACGACACUGCGAUGUAAAGGAUUAAGGGUUACAGGAGCAGGAAUCGGGGAAGCAACCUUGUUAUUAGGAUUAGCAUGCAUGCAAUGCAUGGAACUAGAGGGAAUAUCAGGGGUAGCACAUGGCAUAGACUUAGUUAAAACCUUUGGGUUUACGUGCAUGCCUUGCAUGGCUCGGGUUGGGCUAUUAGGUUGGAAAGUUUGAGCGCGACAAUGAAUAUUUGGGUUAAUGUUUUCAGUUAAGGACUUGUUUGAUGGAACUGGAAUCUUUUUGGUAGGAUAUUUUCUCAUUGGUUGACUCACAUGCUUCUUUUUCAUGCUUCUAGAUUUAGGGGCUAAAGCAUAAGGAUUUUACAAGACUGGCUCCGUAAUGCCCUGAUGAACAGCCGAAAUAUUUUCCUAAUUUUGAGGGACAGUUUCCUCUUCCACCACUUUACGUAAAACAUCGAACCGUGAUUCCUGAACUUUCGACCCAUGUUGAUCCUGAACCAGAAUCUUAGGGGACUCCAUUUCUAAAGGUCUACGAGGGCGAGGUUUACGGGUUACCACCAUCCAUGAUCCAAACUUAGACUCAUUCCAAUCAGAAACCUCCCCGACCACCAUAGCCCGAUUUACGACAUCAGGACAUGGAAUAGGUAAUCCAGUUGCCAAGGGAGUAACACCACCAUCAGGGCAAGCAUCUUUGUAAUGGCCAAAUUUGCAACAGCAAAAGCAUAUCAAAGGCAAAUUUUCAUACUCCACCUUCUGGAUUCUUCCCUUAAAAUUAAACUGAGAAACUAGUGGCUUUUCAAGGUCCAACUGAACCACAAUGCGAGCAAAUUUUCCUCUUUGGGCCGCGUCAGUAUUAUAGUCAAUCUUAAUAUUAGUUUUAUGAUAAAAAUGAAUGUUCAUACCUGAUAAGCGAAUCCAGGCCACAAUACGAUCAAUUUUAUUCGUAGCAACAUCAAAAUCCGGUUCAAGGCCCCAUGACAGUUAGAUAAUGCCCCAUGACAGUUCAAGGCCCCUCAGUGAGUGCAUACUCCACAUCCCUCUCAUUCCUAUUAUGGACCAAGUAGUAAUCAUUAGCCAAGUCGAUGAUGGAAAAUCCCAUUGUAGAACUCCAGAUUCUCUUCAAACGUUCGCUGAUGACUCUAUAACCCAAAUUACGCCCAAGAGUUUUAAUGACAACUAAAUUCUCCCAAGGUUGGACUAAUCGGUCGUGAAUUCUCUGUGAGAAUGCAAUAUAGGGCAUAAAUUCAUCCUCCUUAAAAAAGACAUCAUCCUCUUCUAGCUCCCACUUGUCCUUCGUGCCAAAAACUACAUUCGCAGAACCUUUUUGCUCUUCCAUUGCUAUGUCACGGUAGGAUAGGGGUGUAGGGUUGUCUCCAUCAUCCCCUUCAGCCCUAAACUUUGCCUUUUUGGUGAAACAGUCGCUCGCCAAUGGCGGUGGAGAGACUUUCUCAGAACUCAUUUGGGUUUUUUUUGAAAUCUGGAAAAAAAAGUUAACUCUUUAUCCUCUUCUUUUCUAUUUUUUUAAGAAGUUCUAAAAUAUUUCUCUUCCUUUUAUUUUUUAAAAUCUUUCUAUAAUUUUCUAAAAAAAUAGAAAAGAAAAAUUUUAAAAGUGAUUAGGUAAAUAAGUUUUACUAUUAUUUUAUUUUUGUUGAUUUUUUUAUUAUGACCUGACCACUGUGAGAUUUCUUUUAAAAUCAAUUGACAUAUGAUAUUAUUAAUUUAAUGGUUAUGAUUUGUUUCUAAAUUAUUUUGACUAACCUCUUAAAAAAUGCAUUUUUUUUUGUCUGAAUCACAAGGUGGUCCUGAGUGGGCCCCAACUGUGGGAGAUACAUUUUUUUUUGUUUGAAUCACGAGGUGGUCCUGAGUGGGCCCCAGCUGUGGGAGACACCUUUAAACUUGGGUCAUAACUGUGGGAGACACCUUUAAGUCCAUACCACAACCUAGACUAAUCUCCACUCGCACCGGGUCGGUCCAUAAGGGGUAAAGUGCUGGCCAAAGUAGUGACUCUAUACGAGAACGGAACUUGAACCCCUGACUUCUCUUAAGGAGUGAGAGUACCGAACCACUCAGUUUGCUAACUUUAGUUAUAAAAGAUGCAUUUUAAUUCCUUAAAACUCUUCGUCAUGACUGAUUUUUCCCGCUUUCACUCCAUAAUUUUUGCUCUUGUCAAUUUAUUCUCUCAUCAUCAUCAACUCUUCUUCUCCUGAUAAUUAGCCAUCGAACUUAGUAACGUCAUGUCAAUAAAUUUUUUAAAAAUCAAAAUCAUGAGAGGACUUUUUAAAGUAAGAAUAUGUUAAACUUUUCUCACAAAUAAUUUUAUAUACUUCAUUUAUUGGUCCUUUACAAUAUCCAUACCAUCAAAUAGUCAUAUUUUAUUAAUUUUGUUUAUUUUUUGAUUAUAUGUUAAUACAUAAAUACAAUAUUUUAAAAAAUACUGUAGCUGACCAUAUUUUAUAAGAAUUUUGGCAACAUUAUUUAAAAAUUUUAGAAAUAAACCAUUUUAACUUUUAAAUUAGAAAAUCUUCAUGAAUUAAUAUUAGUUAAUUGGAGUUGCGAAACUUUUUUUUUUUUUUUUUGGCUUUUUACACGGUCCUCACGGACGCCAAGCAGCAGACCUAUAUAAUAAAAAUUCUGCAGCAACGGUAUAACUUCCCAGUUGAUUCUCUUGCUUCACUCUUCUGAGACUCAGAGAGAAAGAGAUGGGAAUCUACGAUUACAUUUCUGGGACAGUGGAUUCAAUUAAACGCAACACACCGGAUCUAACUGCCGUUAAGGGCAUAUGCUGGUAUUCCUACGAUUACAGCCGGGCUGCCGUUACGAACAUCCAUAACGCCGUUACAGUCAACGGCAAAGCCGUCGUCGAGAAAGUUAACCAGCACUUGCCCGAUCAAGAAACAAGGUCAGAGAUCACCACCAACUUGGUCAAAAGCUCCGCCCAUUUCGCCUUCAAAGAGGGGCUUAAGCUCGUUCCUGGUUUGCAUGCAACCUUUUUAUUUUAUGAUAAUAUUACUACUCGCUAUUUGUAUUCAUAUUUUUUAAAAAAAAUAUUUAUUUGCUUUUGUUUUCUUUUUAUAUGCUAGAUGAUUAAUUGAUGUCUGAAAAUAGUUUAAGUGAUUUCUUUUUUUAAUAUUGUUACGACUUACGAGGAUGUUUCGUCCGUACUAUGAGGAUCAAUGUGACCAAGUUGUUCACUUGGGAUUUUUCAAUCUCACAAACUGCGGUAUGUGAUCUCAUUUUGAAUUGGGUUACAUCGUAAUUGGUUGGUUCAUAAUGCUGGAUAUCUAGCAAUAGUUAGUUAUUCAGGUUGUUUCUAGGAAAGACAAGACGAACCAGUUGGCUUUGGCAGAGGUCUUGUCACUUCCAUUUGUAGGGGGCUUUGUGCUGCUUUUCACCAGAGAAGUGAAACAUGCGUGAUAGAGGGAUUAUUUGCUACUAAUUUCAGUUACAUUUCUUUGUUAGCAAAAUAUUUCAUGCAGUUCUGGCUGUCAUUUUUAGAUGAUUCUAUGUUAGUUUGCCAUUGCAAUGCCCCAAAAAGGGCCCCAGUGCCACUCGAUAAUUCUUUAGAGAUUUUUGGGACUUCAAUUGGUGGGGUUCUCAUCAUACCCCGCACCAGAACGCCAAUGGCAUCAGAGUUUAUAAGUUCUGUAAUUACUUGUAACUUCAAAAUGCCUUACGUAUGGCGCACACGCUGUCUGUAAAGAUAGAAAGUGUUAGCAUGAUGUGACUUGUUAGUUUCCCUUCUAAAUGGAUUAUUAUUUUCAGGUGGAUCCGCAGUUUUCAACAUUGUAGAUCGAUCCCUCCCCAGUGAUAAGAAAAAGCUGCAAAAGAAUAAAGAUCUGCUAGAACUGAAUGAUAAGGUUGAAAGACUGGAAAAAGAACUCCGUGAUUAUAAGAAAUUACUUGACAAAACUGGGAUACAAAAGCCAACAGUGGAAUUAAAGUCCAAGAACACACCUGAUUUGCAUCAAAAACCAGAAGACGUGAUCAGAGCUUUCAUGAUGACAGAGUUUAUGUGUAAUCGUUUCUUGGAUGGCCUAAUUGUUCCUGAGAUUAGAUCAAGGAACCACCGUCAGUAUUAAGUAUGUUAAACAAAAUGGUCCCUGAACAAGUCACUGUAUGCGGUAUCUGUAUAAUUAGAUAUCCUUCUGCACAAUCACAGAUUCAUUCUGUGUGAACUUGAUUGUCUUGUUGAGUCUUCUUGCUAUAUAAUUCAGGGUACUAUUUUAAUGUCAGCAUGUUAUGUAAUUGUAAACUUUCAGCUUCUGAAUGGUCUGGCUUUUUAAGUCAAUAGAUUCGAUGUUUUGUUGUUAAUUAUACUUUAUUCAACUUGAGAUCCCUGCAAGUUGAAGAAUGUUUCUGAAAAUCUUGCUGAUGGAUGAUUGUAGGGAAAUGAGUUAGUUGAAUGCAAGGAAAUAAGUUAGAUAUGCCAAGAUUGCAAGACUUUUGACAAGAUUAUUUAGAAUAUCUAAAAAUUACAUCUUUUCCCAAAAUGUAAAAUUAAUAACAUUAUAUUUAACAAACUUUUAAUGUUUGUUAAUAUUUUCUUUGGCUUAAGACUUGUUUGGAAUUGAAAUUAGACAACUAUAACUUAAAAGUUACGGUAUUAAAAUGUUUGGUAAAUACUUACUGUUAUAACUUUGAAGUUACGAUAAAACAUUUAUUUAUUUUUUUUUUAAAAGAAACUUCCAUUAAAACGAAGAAGAAAAUAAAUACAUCAAUUGUGAAGGGUAAGAACCCAUCCAAACAACAUUUUCACAUUUCUCUAAUGCUAACUUAACUAGAGAGUGGGCAAUGGCAUUACAAGAUCUAUGAGUAUAAUUAAUGCUAAUUAGCUCAAAGUUCCUCAUUAAGUUUUGAAUCUCCAAAAUUAUCCAAAAGAUCUCAGAAUUGCCGCCUUGCUUGUUGUUAACUAACUUGACUACGCUUUGAGCGUCUGAUUCAACAAUUAAAGCCUUUGCACUUGCAUUCCUAGCAAUCUGUAAUCCCCAUUCCAAGGCUUCUGCUUCAGCAAAGGAAACAUCUCCAUGAAAUUUUGAAAUCUUGAUUGCAGCUGCUAUGACAUUCCCCCGAUCAUCUCGGAUUAUAGCUCCCAGCCCUGCAAGGUGCUUUUCUGAGCUUGUUGCAGCAUCCACAUUGACUUUAACAAAUCCACUUUUGGGGGGAUUCCAAAUCUACUGAGUCUGCACCUACUGACUUUCCUUUGGAGCUUGCUCUGGUUUUUGAACUCUUUUGUAAGCCUCCAUUAUUGCUUCAGCUUUAGCAACCAGAGCCUGGGGGUUCUCUCUUUUUCCUUUAAAAAGCAUCUCAUUUCUUGCAUUCUACACCAUCCAACAAAUCAUAACCAUUAGUUCUAAAUCGGCUUUGUUUCUUCUUCUGCACAUUUCAUGCAGCAAACUCAAAAAAUCCUGCCCAGCAGUUUGCAUGAUGUCAUUCUCUAAUAGAGUGAGUUUCCAGAUUUUCCUUGCAGCUUUACACUUUACCAAUGCAUGAAACACAUUCUCCACUCCGAGCUUGCAUACUUGGCAGGUAGGCUCUUGGAUGAUUUUUCUCUUCCACAAAUUUUCAGCAGAGGGGAGAAUAUUCUUGGCUGCCCUCCAAGCAAAAAUUCUGAUUUUCUCAGGUAAAGUAAGAGUCCAUAUGAUAUUCCAUUGGUUUUUUCCUGACAUUGAACUUGAAGGCAUGGCUGGGAAUUUAAGACUAAGGGUUGUUUGAUAGCCACUCUUGACCGAGUAGAGACCUUUCUUGUCAUAAUGCCAGAUGAUUGUAUCUUCUUUUAGGCUUCUAGGCAAAGGGAUUUCAACAAUUUUAUCAGCAUCCAUUCUAUUGAAAUUCCUGUAUAUCAGGCUCUCAUCCCACUGGUUUUCUUCAUUUAUCAGCUCAGCAACCAAUGUAUCUUCUGGCAAAGAUGGCCUAACUAUUGGCUUAAAGGUUGACGGCUUCGGGAUCCAGUUAUCUUUGUGAAUUUGGAUUUUUUGGCCAUCUCCAAUCCUCCACCUAGCACCAGAACCGAGAAUCUGCCUUCCCCAUAGGAUGCUUCUCCAUACAAAUGAUGGUGUGGACCCGAGCUUAGCCUUCAUGAAGUCUUUAUUUUGGAAAUACCUAGCUUGUAGAACCUUUGCCACUAAUGAAUCCGGGAAUUGUAAGAUCCUCCACCAUUGCUUAGCCACUAGAGCUUGGUUGAAACUUGAGAAGUCUCGGAAACCCAUACCUCCUUUACAUUUGGCCUGACUCAGCUUCUCCCACUUCGACCAGUGGAUGCUUCUUUUGUCGCUCUUUGAUCCCCACAAAAAAUUAGCCACAGUUUUUUUGGAUAUCAUUGCAAACACCCAUUGGGAUCUUGAAUACACUCAUGGCAUAGGCUGGAAUGGCUUGCGCUGCAGCUUUGAUUAAAAUUUCUUUGCCCCCACAUGAGAAGAAUUUGUGCUGCCAGCUGGAGAUUUUGUUAAAGACUUUCAGCUUGAUGUCAUUAAAGAAGUUGCUCAUCUUUCUUCAUAUUAUAGCUGGUAGGCCUAGAUGCUUCUCGUGCCUUGAGACAAUAUUGAGCUGAAAAAUCUGUCCAAUUGCAGUGGCUCGAUCAUGCUGGACAUUGCCACUCAGGAACAAAGAUGAUUUCUCAAAAUUAAAAAUUUGCCCGGAAGCUGCAGAGUAGCAAUCAAGUAUUUUUUUUCAGGUUCCUGCAAUCGGCCAUUGAAGCUCGGCUAAAUAUAAGACUAUCAUCAGCGAACAAGAGGUGAGAAAUGUUCAACUCAUUUCCAAACGACAGCCCAUGGAUGAGUUUCUGUUGUUCGGCCUGCAGCAACAAAGAGGAAAAGACCUCUGCACAAGUAAUAAACAAGUAAGGGGACAUGGGGCACCUUUGCCGUAAGCCUCUCUGGGGCUUUAUUAAGCCUCUGAUCGAGCCAUUUAUAAUCAAAGAGAAAGAAACAGAGCUUAUACACUUCAUGACCAAGCUAAUCCAGUUUUGAGAAAACCCCAUACAUUUCAUAGUUUGCUCAAUAAAGCUCCAUUCCAAUCUGUCAUAGGCUUUACUAACAUCAAGUUUCAAGGCCACUAACCCAUUUUUUCUCCCUUUGCAGUGCCUUAUUUUAUGUAGACAUUCAUAUCCUACAAUAACAUUGUCGGUUAUCAAUCUAUCAGGAAUAAAGGCACUUUGCAUUGGAGAGAUGAUUUGGUGCAGAAUUUGUUUGAAUCUGUUGGCAACUGACUUAACCACUAUCCUAUAGAUAACGUUGCAAAGGAUGAUAGGCCUAAAGUCUAUAACUUUUCUAGGUUUUCCCUUCUUAGGAAUCAGGGCUAUGUAAGUAUAAUUAAGGGGGGCUAGAGUACCUUGUUUGUUUAAGAUGUGAAGACAGGUAGUAAGAACUCCCUCUUUGACCUCAUUCCAGUGCUUUUGGUAGAAAGCUGCUGGUAGCCCAUCAGGCCCCGGCGCCUUGGUUGGACACAUUUGAUUUAAGGUUUCAGUCACUUCCUCCACUGUAAAAGGUUUCUCUAACGACUCAUUCAUGUCCUCGGAUACUCUCGGGGUGAUACCUUUUAGUGCUGUUUCCAUCUGGUUUUGACUCGGCUUGGUUGUUGUAAAUAGCUUUGUGAAAUAGUUGCAGAAUUCAGCCUCCACAUCUUUGGCUUUCUUUAUCCAAUCCCCUGAGCUAUUUUCAAUCCCCCAAAUUCUGUUCUUUUUCUUUCUAUUCGACGCUUUAUGAUGGAAGAACUUUGUGUUCUUGUCCCCUUCCUUAAGCCAAUCUGCUCUUGAGCGUUGCUUCCAGUAAAUCUCCUCAUCAAUGAUGAUAUUUUGAAUAUGAUUUUCCACCAUUUUAAUCUCUUCUCCAGAUUCGUACUGCACCCCUCUCUGCUUCUAUCCUUGAAGCUGCUUUUGUAACUGCUCAAGCUGUUUUUCCCUUCCCCUGAAUUCCCUCUUGCUCCAGUUUAAAAGCCUAGCCAUUGAUUCUUUAGCAAUCUUUCGAAACAAAUAAACUGGAUUGCCACUCUGCCAAUUACUGUUCAAGCUUCAUUCCUCGCUAACUAUCUCCUUACAAGCCUCAUACGGGCUCCACAUGUCCUCAUAAUGAAUUCGUGAGGAUUGUCUCCUACUCGCAGCCAUUUCCUCUCCCCUCUCUUGAACCACCAUCAGCACUGGACAAUGGUCUGAGGUCCAUGUGUUCAGGUUGAUUGUUGCAUCAUUGACAAAAAUAUCACACCAGGCUCUGUUGCAUACAAAACGGUCCAGCCUUUCCUCUAUAAAUCUCUGUCCAAACCUCCCAUUACUCCAAGUAAAAGGGUAACCCUUAUACCCUACAUCUGCUAAUUCACAAUCUCUCAACGCCUACCUGAAGCUAUUAAUUGAGUUGACAUUUCUCUCAUUGCCUCCGCUCUUCUCAUGAGGAUGCAGAACUUCAUUGAAGUCUCCGAAACAUAACCAAGGACUAGGAGACAAACCUACCAACCUUCUCAAGAGUGUCCAUGUAUGUUGUUUCUGCCCCAUUUCCGGAUGCCCGUACACUCCUGUGCAUCUCAUUUGCCUCCCAUUGGCCAUCUGAACUUCAGCAUCUAUGUGAUAUUUGCUGAACGAUUUAAUUUGCACACAAGUUUCUUCAUUCCAGAGCAAAGCUAAACCCCCUCCCCUUCCACUACAGCUCACGGCAAAACAAUUAUCAAAUUUUAAUUUUUUUCCAGUCACGUUCAUUUGCAUGGUUGACAGCUUGGUUUCACACAAAAAUACCAGUUGAGGACCAUGCAUAUGGAGGAUUUUUUUAAGUGCUAGAAAUGCUCGGGGAUUCCCCAAACCCCGAACGUUCCAUGAGAUGAUCUUCAUGGCUUUCGACGGGGCUGGCUUCCAGCCUCCGCCGAUAUCUCUGCUAUGGUUAAAUCCGUGUCCACCAUAUUUUCCAACAUCAAUGGUUCCCAGCUCAACUUAAUUUUUGCCGCUGGAGAAUGGUGCCCCUGCUUCUUUGUUUCUGAUUUGAUUGGACUAGAGAGCUUUGCUUGCUUUUUCAGGCUUUGUCCCAUUGCCUCUCUACUUGGUCGUUUAUGAGUUCCCAGCCCCAUUUUGGUUUCCCUUCCAUUUGGCUCUCUAACCCGUCUCUUCCAUUUUCUUUUUGUGGGCAUUUCUUGAGUAAUUUCCAGCCCAUUAUCUAUUUUAGCUUCCUCCAUUUCUUCCAAAUUUGUCUUGGACUUUUCCCUCUCUUUCUCCAUCCCAUCUCCCGCCAAUAUUCCCCCUUCUCUAGGAAUUAUUUCAUUGCUGAUGUUCCCACUUUGCUUUUUGCCGCCCAUUUGCUUUUCUUUCAUCGAUUCUACUACUCAUUUCAUUAAAUUCUGCUCACCUACUCCUUCCACCUCAUCAAUCUUGGUAGUCUCCAUGGUUUGACCCGUUUUUUCGCCCAUGGGUUCUGACCCACUUGUUCUAAUCGGGUUGUCCUGGUUUUUUUGUUGUUGUUGUUGCCGGUGGAUUCCGUUAUGCUCUGAACUUUCUGAUUUUUCUUCUGAUCUACUCCCUUCAUAAUUCCAUCUCUCCUUGUUGCGGUUCUUCCUUGAACGACCUCCUAUGAUAAUUGCUUUCAUCCACCCACCGUAUGGUAGUUGCUCUUUUUGAUGUCCCUGAAAUUUGGCACACUCUUUGUAUUGAUGCCCAAUGAUGCCACAACAAUAGCAGAAAUCUGGUAGUCGCUCAUAGACCACUGGCAUUGGAAUGUCUGAUUCACCUUCUUGUUUAAGGAAGAGUAUUUUCUUCAAUGGCAGUGUUAUAUUGAUUAAUACUCUUAUUCUCGCAAAUUCGCCAAGACAUUCUCCAUUUUCAUCUGUCUCAACCUCCUCCACUGCCCCUAUCAUUCCUCCCAAUUCUUGGAGCAAUUCUUUCUCCAUGCAUGCAAUCGGGACGUUGCGAAUCUGUAUCCAAAAGGCUGUGUGGGUAAAGGAUUGCUUUGUCAUCUCCCCUAUUUCUUUUGGUUCAGUAAGAACAAUCAAUGCUCUAUCAAAGUGCCAAGGACCUCCUGUUAAUACUCUUUUUUUAUCCGCUUCUUCUAUAAAUUUAAACAUAAAGCAAUUGUUCCCUAAGCUUUCAAUUUUAACCUCUUUUAUAGUCCGCCACACUUGCUGUAAUGCACUCUUAAAUUCCUCCUUGUUGACUGCUCUUGUGAGGAGGACUUUGCCCACUAAGCAGCUUGCCAGCAUUUUCCCCCUUGUGGCUUUCAUGUUCACCUCCAGUGUCAUAUUGGUUUUGUCUUCCUCUCUUAUAGUUAUUGCGUUGCAUUUACGGAUUAGCUCGUCUGUAUCCAUAGCAUCAAAAGCUUCAGGAUAUGGAUACAAUAGUGCCUAUUUGUAUAACCCCCGUGUAUAACCCCUUGCCUUCUCUGCUCUCCCCAACUCUGUUUAGUACAAUACUCAAACAUCCACCGAGAAUAAAGAAACGCUAAAGCUAAAAGAAAACUUAAACCUGAAAGCACUCACUUCGGAGUGACCAUUGAGUCAUUAAGACCCUUUAAAGCUUCCAUUCCAGCUUCUCUGUCAUAGAGAGAGCGUUUGAAGGACAAAGGAGUGUUUUCACUAAGGAGUUGGUCCUUCAGAGAAAAGCCACUUUGGGCCAAAACCCUAUUAAGAGACACAAGCUCAAAUCUUGAUAAAAAAUUUAUUAAAAGCCUUAGUACCUUAAUUCUGACCAAAACUUUAAUGGAUAAAUUUCAUUCAAAAAAUAAAAUGUGAUCACAAAAAAUUCAAAAUUUAAUUUGAAAAAUCCUCCAUCCAAACCGCUAAAUCAUGAACCUUUAACGCAAUUUUGGCUAGACUAUAAGCCGUUUGAUUUGCACAUCUAAUAAUAUGCUUAAUAUAAGAGACAAUUAGGGGUGGGCACGGUUCGGUUCGGUUCGGUUCGGUUCGAAAUUAAGUAGAACCGAUUUAAAUCGGUUAUUUUAUAAAAAGAACCGAAUAAGAACCGAACUAAAAAAGAACCGAAUUCAAACGGUUCUUUUCGGUUCGGUUCGGUUCGGUUCGGUUCGGUUUUUUCGGUUCUUGGCCUAUUUUGAAUUUUCAAAUUUUUAGCCCAUUGGGCUUCAUAAAUGUAAUAAUUUUUUUCAACAAGUUCAUCCUAAUUUCAUUACAAAUAUUAACAAUAAAUACAAAGUAUUCAAAACACAUUUUAUCAAUAAUAUCUUACUAACUAUUAAUAAAUAAUUAAAUAAAAAAUCUAUAUAAUAAGAUGCUAGUUUAAAAAAAAAUAAAGAAAACUUACUGGUAAGCAACAUCAAUCAACUAUCAUUUACUCCUCAGCUACUUGCUGUUGUUUUUAAGAUUGCAUUAGCCUAAAAAAUUCUUCAAGAAAUUGAAAUUUACGAAAUUUACGAAAUUUUUUUAUAUUUGAUUUUAGGGUUUAUUUUGGGAAAUAAAAAUUUACGAAAUUGUAACACUAACAUAUAUAUAUACUCUGAUUGUGUGUAUGCAAGUUUAUGUUAGCUAUCUUACACAAUCAGUUAAAAAUUAACACAUAUUUAAUUUAAUAAAAUUUAAAAAUAAUUCGGUUUUUCGGUUCGAUUUUUCGGUUCAGUUAAAUGAACCGAAUACCGAACCGACAUUUCGGUUUUUUUAUAAAUUGUACCGUUCGGUUUUUUGUAAAAAAAAAAAACCGUACCGAAUUAGAAAAAACCGUCGGUUCGGUUCGGUUUUUUUAAGACUACGGUUUUUUUGCCCACCCCUAGAGACAAUGCUAGAUACUUAGUACAUCAUGUAUCACCUUCACCAAACAGAAGAGCUUAAGCCUCAACAUGAUCAACAUCAGUUGUUUAAGCACACAUUCACAUAUUACAAGUUGUUUAUAACUACUCGGACGUUUUAGUCUUUUCAAAAUUUUUAAAUCAAAUUUUUUUUAUUGAAGUAGCUUUGUUGUAUACAAUUCUGAAAAGUAAUCAGUAAUCUUAAGAAAUUGUGAGAAGUUCUUUGCCGAUUCAAUUCCUAUCAAUAUGGUGCACCUCUCAUAGAACUUUUAAGAUUGUACACUGUUAUUUAUUUAUUUACUCUUAACUUUUUAAGAUGCAUAACAUGGAGUUCAAGAAGAAUUCAAUAACAGCAUUUAUCCUUAAUUAUUUGUUGAUUUUACAAAAAAUGACCUUGAAAAUCUAAAGCCUAGUUAAAGCUUUUGACCUUUAGUAGUUGAUUUACGUAAAAUGAGUAAACAUCUCGGGAAAUAAAACUGAGUUAAUGCAAUCACGUCUCCAGAAUUAAUUGUUGAUUUAAGCAAGAUAAGUAUAAACGUCUUGGGAAAUCUAAAAGCCUUAUACACACACAUAUCAAAACUUCUCUACAAUCAUACUCUAUACAGGACUAAUCUCUUAGUAGUCACAAAAAAAUUAUAGUCUUAGUUUUAACUAGUUAUAAAUAAGGAUAAACUCUAUAUUAUAAUAAUUUAUAAUAUUUUUAGAGCCCAUCUUUAGAAACUUGCCUCCAUGUAAUAAUAAUUUCUCUGAAUUUUGCAAAAAGAUAUAUGUUAAUUUUUUAAAAUUAUACCUAUCUCUUUUAUCAAUAUCUAUACAUUAGAUUUGACAUAUUCCGUUAAUUAAUUAUUAUGGUGUGUUUAUUUCUUGGAAUGAGAAAUGAGAAUGAUGAAUCAUUUCCAUUGUGUAUGUUUACUUUGCAAAAGUUGAAUCAAAUAAUAGGAAUGGAAAUGAUGGGAUCUACCAAAUUUAGGAAUGAGAAAUGGAAAUCUCAUUUCCUUAGAGGAUGGAGAGAGAAUGAGAUUCGAAUUCCUUGGAGUGACUUUCUUACCCCUAGUAAAAUAUGAAAAUCCUCAUAAUAAUAAUAAUAAUAAUAAUAACAACAACAACAACAACAAUUGAGGACAUUUUAAUAAUUUAUAAUCCAUUUGAUUCCAAAACAAAGUAAACACAUUGAUGAUAAUACAUAAGGAUGAAUAAGGCAAAACAAUAAUUUUUUUUGGAUAUAUCUUAUUAAGUUAUAACCACCUCAUAACAAUAACAAAAAAAAUUAUUCUCAACAUUAUAAUUAUAGAAAAGGUUUUAUUGUAUCUACAAUUUGCUGAGUUGUGUAUAAUUAGUGUAGAAUUUCAGUCGUAAAGCAAUGAGAUUCACAUUCUAAUUAAAAGAAGCAAGCGAGAUGGGAAUUUACGAUGACAUUGUCAAUAUCCAUAAAGCUGUCCAUACCACUAUGGACUAAGGCAGUCGACGGCAAAACUGUCCUCACAGAUAUCCAUAAUGCUGUUACAAAUGUCCAAGAAAAAUUUUAUAUAUAGCACUGAGGUGGUGGGAAGAUCCUAUCAAGUGGCAGAGCUGUUGGGAUUAGUCUCAUAAAUCAUAUUGCGGUCAAUGAAGGCCUUAACCACGUCCCUGGUUUGCAUGCAAUAAGCCCUUGAUUACUUUUUAUUAAAUUAUACUAAAGUGUUUAAUAUACGAGAGUAAAUUAUACUUGCACGUGAAGUUUUAUAUAAAAUUGCACUUGACAAAUAGAAUAAACACAAUAAUGAGUUUGCGUUAUCAGAAAUAUCUUUUUAUGGUUAGUGAUCAAGUUUGUUAUUUGAAAUGUGCCUGCGACUUGCCGGAUUUUGCCGUCUUAAAUUGGUUAAAUUUUUUCAGGUGAAUCUGCAGUUGCAUAGAUUGUACCUAGAUCACUCCCCAGUGAAAAGAAGAAGUUCAAAAAAAGAUAAAAGUGAUAGAUGAGAUGGAGAAAGAACUCGGGAGAUUAUAACAAAUUAUUUUAGAGUUAGCUUUGAGACCAAGGCCUAACGAAAGACCUCGUAUGUAUUUAAUUAGUCAAAUUUGAAAGAAAAAAAGUACAAUUCUUGUCAAUGAUCUUGUUUCUAAGGAGACAAUGUUAAUCACAUAACGCACAUAGACAAUAUCAGCUACCCUUCUUUUUUAUUUUUUUUAAUAAAUCAAAUCAAAAUAAAUACAAAAUUGGGGUGUCCUUGCGAUCGCGCUGAGGCUGAGAAAUAACGGAAAGCCAUUAUCAAAACUGGAACAAGGAGAAGCAUCCAAGGCGUUGUCGACAAUGGCAGCAGAAAAAUAGUGGCAAAAAUAGAAGCGAUGGGGUGAAGAAAAAGAGCGCAGCCAUAAUCAGGAGCAUCAUUAAAAAAUGGGGCAAUGGCAGCGCCAACAACGGCAGCGCCAACAGUGACACAACCAUGACCCCAAUUUAUGCAGGCACCCAAAGCUGGGAACCUUCUUCCGGGAAAAUAAGACUGCAAAGGACGUGAACUCUCUCAAUAGUGCUUAGGAUUUGGCUUAUGCCUUGGCCUUGUGUGGUAGUCCCUUCAAAUAGGACAGAAAUCGAAAGUAUAUUCAAGUUAGGAAUCCCCUCAUCUGUAGGAAAACUCCUUUAAUACCCAGGAGUUUCAAGAAAAUUAAUACUCCUAGUGGCUAGUGGGGUAGUGGGUCAUCUAUUUAGAUUAGGACAUAUUAAAUGUCAGCAUUGGUGCAAUACAUGUGAAUCAAGUGAUAUUAAAAAUAAUAGCUAAAAAAAGAAGAAGAGAGAACUGCUGCCACAAAAAAAGUUCAACAAAUCAACACUAUCUGAAUACAGAAGUGAAAAUAGGAGCAACUUUCAGGCUCAAAGGAUCUCAUAUACAUAUCACCAACUGAUACUGUUUUGCUGCCACCAGAUUACACGACAUUGCCAGCCGAAGACGACCACUUAAAACAAAAUGGCCAAGGAAAGCCCUCAAAAACCUAGCAUAUAGAGCACGCCAAAUGACAUAGCAACAGAAGACCUAUACAAGCACUAAGUUUCAUCAUCCUAGAGACAUGUUGACAUUUAUGCACAAAGUAUGGAGUCAGUUGAAUUAUAUUUGUCCAGAGCGGUACUAGUUCGCGAUUGACACACCACAACAAUAUUAGUAGACCUGAAAGAACAAUGGUUCACAAUCCUUUAAAAGAAAUUAAUGAGUAUUUUUAAAUUCACCAGAUUGAAAUUGAACAAAUUGGAUAAGGCAAAUAUAAACAGAGUUGAAGCUGAUUCUAAAACUUCGCACCACUUUAACAAUUGUGUAAAGAAAAAUAUUAUUUAUCAAGAAAUAUAUUUAUUCAUGCUCCGAAAGUGCUUGCAGUCAUCAGGAAACUUCUACUCAUCCCCACUGAAAGAUAAAUUCUGUAAUUCUUAUAAAUUUUAUUAUCAGAUUCCAUGAUUCUUAAGGAGCAACACUCUUUAAGACAAAAAAUAGAAAAUCAAAAAAAUGAAGGCAAUGAUUACAUAUUGUAAAAAUAGCAUGGUGUAGAUUAAACAACACCAUCUACAGUCAUGCCCAGAAAGGCAACUGGUAGAAAAUAUCAUUUACGUUACCAUCUGAGGUAGAAGGAAAGGAAAGACUAAUAUUGCAGUUAAUGAACAAUAUCCGUAAACAUCUUAUAACAUCAGGAUAAACUGCACACGAAUAAAAUGAGGGGGCACUCAACAUAAAGUGGGUGAUGAAGUUGAGCUUUUGUUGCAGUCACUUUAAGGGCGAAACUCAGAAACGAAAGGCAGAAGAAGGUUGCUGAGGCUGACACUAAAUUGCUUGGUGAAAUUUUCACUGAGAAGUUCAAUGAUCUAACCUUUGAAUAGUUUGCAACAGAUACACCCUUUUGAUACAUACGAUAGACAUGGAAAUAAAUGAAAACAUAUUGACGACAAGAAUGUAGAGCUGCUAAUCUUUUGUAAGAAAAGAUUUUCACUUAAGAUCCAUUGCGACUCUAAUCCACCCUUGAAUAGCUAAGUUAAAUACAAAAAGACUAAGGAUGUUAAACUUUUAUGCAAAAAGAACAUUUGGUGUCUGUGACUAUGUGCUCAAAAAAUACAUAAUGGACGAUGAUCUGCAAAAUGGGCUUAUUAAAUAAUCAUUGAACAGAAAACCAAACGCCUUGAGCAACCAAUCCUAAAGAACAGGGAAACUAUACCCACUAAAUAACAAAUGCAAACUGUACAGACAUACAGACCAUCCCGCAACCCUUCCUACAAUAAACAUGAGUGGAGUUUACCACUGAAAAGAGAAGCUAGUUCACAGGGUCAGUCCAGCAAAAAGCAACUCCAGCUCCCUUUCCUUUGAAGAGGUCCUCUGACGUAAAGAAAAACAAACAAUGAGAAAAUGAGCAUCAAAUUUCUAUUACACACACAAAAUAGCUUUCAUAUCUAACAAAACCAUAUAGAUAAAAUUACACAAUUCACUAAAAUACUCUAAACCAGUAUGGUAAACUUCAAAUAAGUCAGACUGAGUCUAAACAAUUGCAUGAACAAAUUAUUGUAUACCAGCUGAGACAUCAGUUGAAGAAUUUUAUUGAGUACAUGCAGGCAAUGACUAGCAUAAGCGCUGUUUGCAGGAAGCUUGUUCAUUCGUUUCACUUCUUCUUGAACAGCUGCCUUCUUCUCUUCAUUCCCCAUUUUCCGCCAUAUAUCUCCAAACUGGGGAGGAGCUGCAGUCCCCAUAAUCUGUUCAAAAUGACCAAACAAUGGCAAUAUUAGUCUAAAAUGAAAAUCAAAGCACCAUUUGGCAACAAGCAAAUAAUAUGAAUGAUCUACAGUUCCGAAACAAUUCUUUGGGCUAGAAAAUUAACAAAGAACGAGUAAAUUUUAUUAGUAGUUCAUAAAGUUACUUUUAAUUUUCCAAGUUACUACUCAAUUUUCUUUUUUUUUUAAUUCAAAUUACAAACCAAAAAUCUUCUUUGUCACUAUCUAUACUUCCAUUCAGAACUAAUGAUUAAUGGGUAUGGGCAAUUGAAUAUAAUCAAACACAAUGAAUGAAUUCAAAACACCAACAAAGAAAGCAAAAAAGAAGAUUUUUUUUUUCCUUCAAUACUUAAAAAGAUUAUGGCAAUAAAUAAAGACUUGCCAUGGAACCAAAUCUCAAUUAUGACUUGGGUUUUUAUGAAGAACCUAAAUUCAACAUCUCAAGGAUGAAACUGAUUCCGACACCGGCUUUAGAAAUUUUAACCCAUCAUUAAUUUGUGGUAAUAUUUUUAUUUACUUAUUUAAUAUUAGAUAAAAAUAAAUAAAUAUGAAACUAUCUCAAUAGAAUCAUUCAGUAAAUACAUAUUAUGUGUUUUAAAUUACUUUUCUCCAUCUAUUAUUAUUGGUCCAUUUCAAAGUGAUUAGUAUAUAUCUCAAAAACAUUAUUUGAUGAACACUCUAAUAAUUUAAUGCACCUACGCACACCCAAUAUAAAUUUUUCUCGUUAUUUUGUACUAAGUCAUCAUGAUUUAAAAUUUUAAGCAAUUGAAUUUUGUAUUAUGUAUACAAGAUAAAUAAGUUAUCUCACAGUUGAUGUUGAUCAAAGAGUACCGGACCUAUACAAAGCAUUUCUAUUUAAAUGCACCUUAUUAAGCAUUUCUAUUUAGAAGCACCUUAUAAAGGCAUUCUCACAAGCGCAAACCCAAACUAAAAUUACAACAUUCAAAACAUACUAUUCCCUGUUCUUUCGGCAUUCUCUCAAGAAUCACAUGUUUAAAUGCCUACAGCAUUUUGGUCUCCAUAACUUCCAGUUUAAGUUCAUAGAACAAACUUGUUUAUGAAACAAUAAAAAUAAGAAAAAGAGUGAGAGAAUAAAACACAAAUCACCAAGAUAUCAUUAAGGCUUCAUAUACAAUCAGCGAUCACUGUAACAUGAUAUAUCUACAGUAAAUCAUAUUAUAUAUUGCAUUAAUUAUGUAAUAUGAUCAAUUUUAAGGUUAGUGAACUUAACCCCAUUUUAUAGCCUGGAUCGAAUUAAAAUUCUUUUCUCCUUGGUUUUCAGAAGAUCUGAUCCCUUGAUGCCUUCAUUUGGUUUCUUCUUCUGAGGAAUUGAUCCUUUAGUAGGUUUCACUGAUGUCUUGUUUUGUGGCUCUACGUUGUUUAUCAGUUCCUGCAUUUCUUCCAUCUUUGCUUGCAUCUCCUUUGCUGAUUCAAUAUCUUUGCA
rnacentral:lncRNA from 1 species